rnacentral:tRNA from 1 species
AAAAAAUUAGUUAAUUUAUAACCUUAGUUUGUCAUACUAAAAUAAUCUUGUAAGAUAUUUUUUU